CUCUCCCGUAUGCAGCAUAAGCCGACGUUUUUUUUCUGCGUGGCUGGAAAUUUCAGCUAUCGUACCUUUGAUUCGUGAAAAGAUGAUCGGGAGCUGCGUAUUUGGCUGGAAAGGCCUACGAUUGACUGAAUGCAACACAUAAAAAGGAAGGAUUCUUAUAUGGGUUACAUUUGAUUUUUCUGCGGCCCUAUCCGGAUUUCGGAUUACUCUGCCCUCUUCGGAAUGGAAGGACGGGAUUUUGCAGCUCAGGCGCACCUUCUGUCAGAGCGGGGCGCCCUCGUGCAUCGAGCCACCUCUCGGAUCGCUCCCUCCGGACACGGCUCUGUGCAGCACGCCGGUCACUUCCCGCCGGGGAAAUACUAUCCCUCGCACAUACCAAUGGGUCCCCACUCAGGCAGUGGAUUGAUGGGCAAUUCUUCCGCCUCCUUCAUGGGGACCUUUCUGGCCAGUAGUCUGGGUUCUCCCCCGUCACACCCGUCCCACCCGCCUCACCCGUCCCGGCCGCCC
rnacentral:lncRNA from 1 species